rnacentral:rRNA from 1 species
CCCAGACUCCUACGGGAGGCAGCAGUGGGGAAUAUUGCACAAUGGGGGAAACCCUGAUGCAGCAACGCCGCGUGAGUGAGGAAGUAUUUCGGUAUGUAAAGCUCUAUCAGCAGGGAAUAGAAAAGAAGGCACCUGAAAAAGAAGCCCCGGCUAACUACGUGCCAGCAGCCGCGGUAAUACGUAGGGGGCAAGCGUUAUCCGGAUUUACUGGGUGUAAAGGGGGCGCAGACGGCAGCGCAAGCCAGGAGUGAAAGCCCGGGGCCCAACCCCGGGACUGCUCUUGGAACUGCGCGGCUGGAGUGCAGGAGGGGCAGGCGGAAUUCCUGGUGUAGCGGUGAAAUGCGUAGAUAUCAGGAGGAACACCGGUGGCGAAGGCGGCCUGCUGGACUGCGACUGACGUUGAGGCCCGAAAGCGUGGGGAGCAAACAGGAUUAGAUACCCUUGUAUA